rnacentral:lncRNA from 1 species
AAAAAACAAAAUCGGGGUAACAAACCAAAACUGAGGGAAACGCAUUAAAUAUAAGAGGAGAACAACGACACAACAUCAAAAUGUAACACACACAGAAACGGACUUAGCAUUAAACAAAAUCCGAUGAGAAUAACAAAUAUAACAUCAAAACCAAAUACAUAAAUUUGGGAUAUAAAAGUACCGUGACACGUCUCAUAAUAAUG